rnacentral:rRNA from 1 species
UGAUCCUGGCUCAGGAUGAACGCUAGCGGCAGGCUUAACACAUGCAAGUCGAGGGGUAACAUUUUAGCUUGCUAAAGAUGACGACCGGCGCACGGGUGCGUAACGCGUAUAGAACCUACCACAAACAGGAGGAUACCCUUUGGAAACGAAGAUUAAUACUCCAUAGUGUUAUAGACUGGCAUCGGUUUAUGAUUAAAGAUUUAUUGGUUUGUGAUGGCUAUGCGUCCUAUUAGUUAGUUGGUAAGGUAACGGCUUACCAAGACAUCGAUAGGUAGGGGUCCUGAGAGGGAGAUCCCCCACACUGGUACUGAGACACGGACCAGACUCCUACGGGAGGCAGCAGUGAGGAAUAUUGGACAAUGGAGGCAACUCUGAUCCAGCCAUGCCGCGUGAAGGAUGACUGCCCUAUGGGUUGUAAACUUCUUUUAUAUGGGAAGAACUGCAGAUACGUGUAUUUGUUUGACGGUACCAUACGAAUAAGGACCGGCUAACUCCGUGCCAGCAGCCGCGGUAAUACGGAGGGUCCAAGCGUUAUCCGGAAUCAUUGGGUUUAAAGGGUUCGUAGGCGGGCUAAUCAGUCAGAGGUGAAAUCCAGCAGCUUAACUGUUGAACUGCCUUUGAUACUGUUAGUCUUGAGUCAUAUGGAAGUAGAUAGAAUAUGUAGUGUAGCGGUGAAAUGCAUAGAUAUUACAUAGAAUACCGAUUGCGAAGGCAGUCUACUACGUAUUGACUGACGCUGAUGAACGAAAGCGUGGGGAGCGAACGGGAUUAGAUACCCCGGUAGU